CCUACGGGAGGCUGCAGUGAGGAAUAUUGGUCAAUGGGCGAGAGCCUGAACCAGCCAAGUCGCGUGAGGGAGUACUGCCCUAUGGGUUGUAAACCUCUUUUGUCGGGGAGCAAAAGCCGGACGUGUCCGGCUGUGAGAGUACCCGAAGAAAAAGCAUCGGCUAACUCCGUGCCAGCAGCCGCGGUAAUACGGAGGAUGCGAGCGUUAUCCGGAUUUAUUGGGUUUAAAGGGGGCGCAGGCGGAUUUUUAAGUCAGCGGUAAAAUCGUGGGGCUCAACCCCAUCCAGCCGUUGAAACUGGGGAUCUAGAGUGUGCGAGAGGUAUGCGGAAGGCGUGGUGUAGCGGUGAAAUGCAUAGAUAGCACGCAGAACCCCGAUCGCGAAGGCAGCAUACCGGUGCACAACUGACGCUCAGGCACGAAAGCGUGGGUAUCGAACAGGAUUAGAUACCCUUGUAGUC
rnacentral:rRNA from 1 species